rnacentral:lncRNA from 1 species
GUGUACUGGGAACCGAACACAGUGGUACUUUACCACUGAGCUACAUCCAGUCCUUUUUUAUUUUUGAGACUGUUCUCGAUAAGUUGCUUAGAACCUCACAAAGUUGCUGAGGCUGACCUCAAACUUGUAAUCCUCUUGCCUCAGCCUCCUGAAUAGCAGGGAUUAUAGGUGGGCACCUCCUCACCCAGCUAAACUAAGUUAGUCAAAAUCGUUAAGCUCACAACUUAUGAAAAAAUUCUUAAUUUUAGAGAAGAUUUUAGGGAGGAUUAAAAUUGUUUCUGCUGUUCUCUUUGAAGCGGAGAGCAUGGUGCGGCCAAGCACAGAUCCUCUCAGUGAUCCCGGGCAAUUUGGAAUGUGAAACUUGUGGAGAGUGAGUGCUUUGCUGUGCUGUAGCACAUCUAACAUCAACUUCGAGGUGAGCACUGUUACUACUCUACUCUACUCCUUUUGCUGCAAUUUUGAAAUUUCAUGAGAAAACUAGCAACAAUUUAGGGUCCAUGGGGAGAGGGUAGGUGUGGCACUUAAAUCUCAUAAUUCAUCCCACUGGGUUGGAAUCGCCCAGAGACCUAUAGAUAUGGGCGUAAUCCAAAGAUGGGGUGUCUGAUUGCCAUUUCUGAACCCAAGAGCUCCUGGAAGAAAUGCUAGAGAGGCUGAGGCACUUUGGCUUCCUAAGCUGGGCCUGCCAGCACAUGUGUAGGUUACAGCUUGAGAAGCAGUACCCUGCCGCCACCAAAGGCCCCCUGGGCCAAUCCCAGUUUCUCCCAUGUACUCCUGCUUGAUCCUGCUGCUUUGCCGGCUGGUGGGCUGAACCCUCUGCAUUUCCUUCCAUUGUUCGCAUCCUACUUUCUAGGUGCUCCAGUUACCUCUGUUUCUCCUGAAAGAUGCCUCAGAAAGGCCUGCAUAGUUGGGACAUUCCUGAUAGCGUACACUGGAGCAAAUGACUAAGUGCAUUCUGUGUUAUGAAUAAUAUACUUAUAUGACUGUUAUAAUCAUCCAAACCCCAUUUCUGGCUCUGGCUCUGGCUCCAGUGACUUGGAACAGGUUAUUUACCCAAAGUUUGCUAGACUGCAAAGUUCAAGGGCACAGUGCUCCAGAAUGCCUGGUCUGCUCAGCUCUGACACCAACUGCAAGGGGUUAAAGUCCAAUUACAAAUCUAAAAGGGAGAGUUCACACUAGAUCACCCUCACUUCUGAUACCUACUGCAAGUUCAGGGGGCUCACGAAACCAUGCUCACAUUCUCUAAUUCACUAGAAGGACUCAUGGUACUCACUUGAAGGCUAUCAUACUCAUGGUUAUAGUUUAUUAUAAGGCAAGGACACAGAGGGUUCCAAAUGUCUCAGGAUAUGGUACCUUCUCAGUGUUGAUAUAUAUGACUAUAGAGAGAGUAUUGCCAACCAAGCAAGUUGAACCAAGUCUCCAUGUGCAGAAAUUUUAUUAGGGCUGCAUUAGAUAGGCAUGACAGAUUGAUUGCCUACAUAGUAGAAACUCAGCCCCAGGUUGGCAGAUACAUGAUACAAAGGCCCCACCCUAAAAUCACAUGGUUGGCAUUUCUGGUGUGACCAGUUUCUACCCUAAGAUUGCCAGGCAUGGCCAGGGCCCUCCACAGAGACAUUACUAUCAAGUAUAACAUGAAUUAACUUCCAGAAACACAAGCAAACUCUCUUUGGGCAAAGUCAAAAUUUUUUUUUUUAAUUUUAACACCUGUAUUUACUUAUUUGGGGUCAAAUUCUUAACUAUACUUCAAUUAACAUCUCUGAGCCUCAGCUUUUCAUCUCUAAAAUAAGGUGAUAAUCAUCCCACCCUAAGACAUUUGAGCUCUAAUUCAUGAAGAGAUGCAGCCAUGAUCCAGAUUCUAAAACUUUCAGCUAAGAGGAGACUUUCAGUUUUCUGGCAAAAUGGGCUAGUUUCUGUGUCUGAUUCAAGUAUCAUCAAAUAGUUCUGUCGCCAAGUCACUUAACUUCUCUCCUCAUGUGGAUAAUAUGUAUACCUGUGUGCUCUCACAAGGUAGUGAUAAGAUCAAACAAAUGUCAAAAUUAAUGUAUAUGUAUAUGGAAAUGCCCACUCAUCCAAUUUUAUCCUAGAUAAGGCUUCAUCCCACAGGUGCUGCAACUUCUGUACCCCAAGAGAGUGGCUCUCUGAAGUGCUAAAGAAGUGACUGAUGUGACAGUAUGAAGUGUUCUUAGGUCACAUCCAAAUAAAUGGAAGAGUUGAAAUAGGUCUGAAUGUGUAUGUCCCGCAAAAUUCCCCCAUAUUGAAAGCUAACAUGUGAUGAAUUAAGAGAAAAAGCUUUGGGAAGUGAUACAAUUAUAAAGCAGAGACCGUGUGAUUAAGAUUAGUACCUUUAGGAAAGAGAUAUCCUCACCCCAUCCACCACAUGAGGACAUAGCAAGAAGAUUCUGCUGUGAGGAAGCAAGCCCUCCACAGACACUGAGUAUAGUGGCACCUUGAUCUUGGACUUCCCAGUUUCUCAAACAGUGAGAGAUCGAUUUCCUUUGUUCAUAAGCUACCCUGUCUACGGCAUUAUCUUAUAGCCACUGAAAAGGACUAAUAUGAUGAGUAACUGCAUAUUCUCCCCCAGAAUACUCUCCACCAGAGUAUUUUUAUAUGUUUUCCAUUUCUUGGUUAAGUUUCUCUAGCAGCAAAUACACCCAGUUGGAAGGUACAGUUGGCAAAGAUAUUUUUAGAUUAUGCAAUACUUGGACUGCUGAGGUUGGGAAUCCAUCCUCCUAUGUGACUUUUAUGCCUUCAGGAACUCAGAGACUCCUUUGUUGAUGGAACCUGACUCUAGCCUCAUUUGCCCCCCCCCCACUCCCUGAAACAGCGCACCUCCCACUAGCAGGCCUUGCCUUCCAGCCCUGCUUCCUUUCCUGCUCUGGUGAGCUGGCUGCACACCCGGGAGGGAAGGAUUCUCCUGAGCCUUAACAGACAGCUCCUGUGUCUUUUCCAACAGGUCCUGACAAGCAUGUUAUUAUCCAUAGAGCCAAACAGACUUGAGAAGGAAGAGAGAGGAGAGAGGGUACGUUCAAAGGCCCCCAAAGCCCAGGAAUUGCCAUAAAACCAAAGAUUUCAAAAAUCUACAACCAAAGUUCCACAAGCCCAUAAAACUUUAGAAAACACUGCCCCACCAUGCUAUCUUCAUUCUUGAGGACCUGGAAUGUCUUUUCUACUUCCAGAGUUCCUUUCUCCCAGCCCCAUUCCUCCCCUGUAAAAUUAGGGAAGAUGGGAAAGAAGAACAUGAAUAUUCAUCAUCGCUGCCUCUCCAUGAGUAAGGUUUUCCUUCUUUCAUGCUCCCAGAACUUCUUCUGGGGAGAUUCCAGUGAAUGGGGUCAGUUGUAGCUCCACCCUGGUACCCAAGGAGUUCCAUCCAUUCUUGGAGACCCUGAGGGAGCCCCAGAGCCCCCGAUUUGGUAACACAUUACAAUGGAGAGUUGCUUAACGGCACCCUAAGUGCCUAAGAUUACUAUGGACCUACCCAGAAAUGCAAGUUCUUUCCAUUUUGUUGAAUGAUUCAUAGUCUCUAAAUGGUGUGGUUCCAAAUGGCAAAGAGGCCAAUUUCCUCACCUGUGCUCUGCUGCAGAGGCGGGAAAAUAAGAUUUCAUAAGCAAAACACAAGACAGAUGCAAACAUGAAUUGUUCCUGAAAGGAAAGACUGUUCUCCACACUGUCUGUGCACAAAGACCAGUGCAGCUUCACUAAAAUCAAUCCAAAAGACUAGACAGGAGGAGACUGUGUGUCUCCAAUUGAUGUGGCCCAGAGCCAACCUGUCAGAAACUUCAUCUGCUCAUUUAAGAGAUAGGAAAACUAUGAAUUUGAAACACAGAUUUUUUUUUGUAAUUUAAACAGGCAAUCGCUGACAUUAUUUCUAAACAAACUAUUGCUGUGUUUAGUAUUGUAAUCCAUCAGGGUCUGGCAGAGAAGAGAGGGCAACUAGCUAAGGAGAUAGUAACAAAGGGGUGGAAAUGCUUGGGAGAAGCCAACAAAGAUGGCGCACUGUUAUGGCUAACAACAGCAGACCCUGAGCCUGGGGCAAGGGAAGAUGGGAAAAGCAGCUAUAUGAAGGUAGCCACCUGACAGGAGAUGUAGGACUGGACAGAAGACUAUGCCAACAUGCAAAGACAGGGCAGGAAGUAGCUCAGGGAAUAAAUACCAUAAUCUCAAUUCCUGCCUUCCAGUCUACUGUUGAUGCAUUCCACUGGCAUCACCCACUCGUAAGUCUGAGGAUAAAGGAGUCAUAGGUGCAAUCCAGACCAGAGAAUGAACAAUGGAGAGUGGAUUUGGAAGUAGAGGGAAAAGGUAGUUUGCACCAGGGUCCUUUAUAUGUUCAAUGCUAUGUGGGCAACCACCAUGGUUUCUGGGUUGUUUUAGCAUCUAUCACAUCUUUUAAGUCUUCUAACCCUCCAGGUCUGACCUACAUGGCACAAGUGACUCAGUAAUAUUAAUGCUAAAUAAAUAACCAGUCCUGGCUAUAAACUGGCCCACCUUUGAGAUUUAAAUCAUUUAAUAAAUUACUAAGCAUUUUUUUAAUAUUUCUUUUUUGGAAGCAGAGUUUGAAUAUAUAUCAUCCUUCUGAACAGGUCAUUUUUUGUGUAUUUAAACAUGCUAAAAAUAGAAUCUCUUAGUCAUGGUAGAUUUGCCUAGAAUGUUUUUCUUCUUUUUAGCCAAGGUCUUGGAAACCCAAACACUGACAUGAUUACAAAAUUAUACAAUUAAAUUAAUUAGAAAUGACUUGAAGAGUUAUCUAACCGAUUCCACUUCAGACAAAAUUGUACCCAACUCAUUUCCAACAGAUGAAAAUCUACCCUGAGACUUUUUCUGUCUUUAAAUUCUGUCACCUUUAUAGUGGGUUAAACAGUAGCCCUCAAAGGAUAUGCCCAUUUCCUAAUCCUCAGACCUGUUAGCUUCCUUGAAAAGUAGAUAUACUAAAAUUAAGGACCUGGGAUGAAAAGAUUAUCCUGGAUUAACUGAAUGUGCCCUAAAUCCCAAUGACAGAUGGCCUUUUAAGAGACAGGCAAGGAAAAGGUGAUACAAAAUAAAAGCAACACGGCUUCAUUUCUGCCUCCUAGCAUCCUCCUCACGUUUAUUCAAGCAAUAGGUAGAACUGUGUCCCCCAAAAAAGAUGUUCAAAUACUAGUUCCUGGUACCUAUGAUGUGACCUCAUUUGGAAAUAGGGUCUACACCCUACACUGAUGUCAUCAAGUUACAGUGAGCCAUACUGGAUCAGAGUGUGCCCUAAUCCAGUGACUGUUGUCCACAGAAGAGAGAAAAGUGGAGACGGACAGACACACAUGGGGAGACUCGAGGAUAUAACUACAGAGGAAGAGAUCAAAGGGACAUGUCUCAAGCCAAGGAAUGACAAAGCUUCUUAGCAACCCCAGAAGCUGGGAAGAACCAAGGAGUGAUCUCAUCCGAGUCUUUGAAGAGACUCAGCUGUGGCUACACCUUGAUUUCAGGCUUUAGUCUCCAAAUUUGUGAGAGGAUAAAUUCCUAUUGUUUUAAGUCUUCCAGAUUUGUUGCAAUUUGUUAUUGCAGCCCUAGAGAACUAACGGACCACGUGCACAAUGUGUAAGAGUGUUUGUGUCCAUGUCAACAAGUGUUACUAUUACAAAUGAAAAAGUGCCUCCAGAUGCCAGGGUUUCAGGAGGGAGGACAAAGGACAGUGUCACUAGUACUCACAAGUUUUAUGGUGACCACUAUACUAGAUAACCAAUACUUGGGUAAUACAAGAUGAUUCUAUAAUUAAACUGUAUGUGACAUUUUUGUGAUUCGUUCAAAAAUUUUUCUAAAGAUGCCAAAGCAGUGGUUCUCAGCCAGGGGCUAUUUUGCACCUCAGUAACCUUGUCCAUGCCUGGGGACAUUUUUGGCCAUUACAGUUGAGAGGUGCUACUGGCGUCUAGUAUGUUGCGGCCAGGGAUGCUGCUUAUCAUCCACAAACCCAUAACAGUACCUCUACAACAAAAAAUGAUCCAUCCCAAGAUGUCAAUAGCAUCAAGAUUGAGAAACCCCACUCUAAAACAGUAUUCCAGGAACGUGGGGCAGGAAAACAAUGUGUAACUGUAAAAACAAUGAGAUAAUCCAGAUUGACCCUAGUAAUGGCUAUUAGUAUAGGGGACACAAGGGCACAUCUUAGAGGUGCUAGGUGCCUACUGCUCACUGGGAACCAUAGACCAAAGCUUCCUGUUCCACCUCUCAGUAGUGAAACAAAAAUGUUUUCAACUGUGAUUGGCUUUCCCAUUUUGAAAUGGGGAUUUGAAAUAGUACAUAGAUUAUUAGGAAAAAGGAAAGGAGAGAAUGUAGCAAAUAUGCUCAACAUGGCCCCGGGGGUCCACAGUAAACCCUCCAGUCAUGGUGACUACCAUUACCAUCCACUGUCACCGGACUGUUAUCAUGAUUGUGACUAAUCAUGACCAAUGGAGGCCACCUCUUCUUUACCUUGAAAUAUCCCUCUCUUCUGAUUUCUGAAUUUUCUGUUUUGACAUUACCUGAUUCCAUGUGAUCCUUGGAAAAAUAAGUUGCUGAUCUUGGACAAAAUGUUGAAAACCAACCCAAAAUUCACUCCACAAAAAUAUAUGGUAAUGGAACUAAGUGAAAAUAGAAAUCUUAUUUUAUUUGAAUUACCAAAUAUCAUUACCAACACAUAAGCUUCUCUUCUCUAUUUCUUUAUUUUGUGAAGAAAAAGAAAAAAAAAUCCUGAUCCUUUAUUUGGUUUUCUUUUGGUUUGGCCAGAACGGUGCUGGAUUUUUCACUACCCAGCUCUGUGUCUGAGAAAUGUUUCAAUUAUUUUAUGUAAAUUAAGCUGGUUCCACAGUUCUAUAAACAUAUUUAAUUAUGUUUAGUUUAUCAUAGCUCUUUCUAAAAGGCAGAUGACUGCUUUCCCUAAAUCAUGCAUCAGCCCAGGAAAAAGACUCUGAUUUUGUGCACCUGAUCUCAAGUAAGUCACAUAAUGACCAGGCAAGGGAGGUGUCUUUAUUUUUGUUUUUAGAUUAUGAAGCUAAAUCUCUGAGGAAUUAAACAACAUGCCAAACAUCAUACAGUCUAUAAGCAGCUAAGCCCUGGAUUUGAACACUGACAUGACCCAUUCCAAAGCCCCCACCCUUCCCAUGACUCAUCACACUAGCAACCAGCAAUCUGCUCCCUGGCACCUCAGUCUGCAUGUAGAAAGAGCAGCUAUUAACCACUCAGGACACACUAAAAGGUCAUUGAAGUAAUUAUUCCUCCAUGGGCUCUGUUGGGUCCAGAACAGGGUUCUGCCUAAUCCUUUUGUAGCCAAAAUCUUAUAAAAAGCAGUCACUCCGCUCAUUAUAUCUGCAUCACUAACAAUUUUGAUGAGUCAGGAGGCUGAGGCAGGAGGAUCUCAAGCUUGAGGGUAGCCUCAGCAACUUAACAAGGUGCUAAGCUACUUAGGGAGACCCUGCCUCAAAAUAAAAAAUAAAUGGGCUGGGGAUGUGGCUCAGUGGUAGAAUGCCCAUGGAUUCAAUUCCCAGAAAAAAAAAAAUUCAAACCCUCCCCAUCCUUGCCCUGGUGCCAAAUCUAUAGCUCCUGUGCCCCUUUCUCUUCAUGGGCUAUUUGAUUCUUGGACUCACCCCUACACCUAGUUACUGAUUGUCUUUGAACUCAGAAAGAAAAAAGUAUCUGCUGGAGAAAAUGUACCAAGCAGAAUGGGGAGGGGAGGGGAGGGGAAUGUUCCUCUUUCCCUCAUGCUCUCAGAUGGCCACACCUGAAUCCAUUCUCUUCCUGUUUUACUUCUGGAGUUGUAGCCAAGGCUCAUUUUCCUGAUGGUCUCUGCAACCCUUUCCUUCGUACAUAUCAUACUUCAUUGUUAAAAGUCUGCAAUAAACUGAAGACAGACUGAACAGGUAGUACUUAUGGAGCACUCACUGUGACCCAGUCACUUUCCUUAGAUCAUCAACACAUGUCCACAUGGAAGAAAGAGGAGAGUUGGAAGGAUAGCCUCUGACUUCAGCAAAUGUGAAGUGCCAAAAGCUACCUACCAUCAGGGUUCGCCUGCUGUGGGAUGAGGUUUAUAUUGGCACCCUGCAAUAUUUAGUCACCAGCUAUCCAGCAUCCCCUGGCCGAGUUCUUGUCUCCUAAAUGAUGGCCUUUAAAGAAAAUGAAAACAAGAAAAAAAAAGAAGACAUUCACAAGUUCAGUACAAAGUCUGGCAUUUGAAAAGUAUCAGAAGUCCAUGUAAAUGGCAAUAUUUUGAAACUAAAAGGUUGCGUGAUCUCAACGCUGCGGGGAGUUGGAGCAUAAGGAAUAUUUGUGGCUGCGUGUUACCACAAAGCAGCCUGAGGCACAGCAUCUUUUUCUUGCUUAUACGCUGGUGCACCCUUGCUUUUGUCUCUAAGCAAAACAACCCAGUCAAGAAAAAAAAUUAAUAGUCCUUUUAAAAUGCAGGAAUACUUUUUCCCUAAGCAAUUAUGCACAAUUUUUCCCCAAAGCACUUAACUGCUUUGCUGUUACUUGGCACAUAAAUACAUGGAAAUACACACAUCAUCAUCUCACAAGUACCAGCAGAGGACUAGCCUUUUCAUAUAAUCGGUUCUUCUUUUACACAUUCUGUAAAAUAAGAAGAAAGCUAUUUCCAAUACUUCCUAAGUUACGGGGGAAGUUGAAAGACACCUUAUUUUGGCUUUCUAUAAGAAUCGGUCAUUCUUAACAGGAAAUUAUUUAAAAAUGAAAAAAGAAGCAAGUCUACCUAAUAUAGAAAAUUUAAAAGGCAGAGAAGCAUCUGCUCUCCUAGUCUCUCCCUUCCCACCUCUGACUCCUGGAUCCAUUCCUGUCCCCUGUAUGUGUGGCUGAUAAUGUAGGACUGCUACCAGCUACUGAGCACAGCGGGACACACAGAUACACAGGCAUAGAAGGGAUUGAUAAAACUCCCAUAUCAAAAGGAUAUCACUCUAAUUUUAGGGGUUUUUUGUUUUGUUUUGUUUUUGAGGAACCUCCAUACUAUUUUCCAUAAUGACUGUACAUUCCCAUGAACAGCCUUUAAGAGGUUCCCUUUCUCUCCACAUCCUCCCCAGCAUUUGCUAUUAUUAUCUUUUUUUUAUUUUAGUUGUUGUAAUCAGGAGGAGAUGUUAUUGUGGUUUUGAUUUUCAUUUUUCUGAUAACUUGUGAUGCUGCCUGUUUUUUCAUAUUGUUGGCUCUUUGUAAUCUUCUUUUGAGAAAUAUCUGAUCAGAUCACUCACCCAUUUUUAAUUGGAUUAUUUGGGGGUGGGGGACUCCCCUCCUCUGUUGAGCUGUUUGGAUUCCUUGUGUUUCCUGGAUAACAAUCCCUUCUCAAAUGAAUGUUUGUGGAUAUUUUUUCCCAUUCUACAGGUUCACUCUGCUGAUUGUUUCCUUUGCUGUGCAGUUUCCUGGUUUGAUGUGAUUCCAUUUGUCAAUUUUUGUUUUUGUUGCCUCUGCUUUCAAGGGUUUUAUCCAAAAAUAUACCAACAUCUUGGAGUCUUUUCCCUAUGUUUUCUUCUAAUAGUCUCAUAGUUUCGAGUUUUACACAUAGGUCUCCAUCUAUUUGAGUUGUUUUUUAUAUAUGGUGAAAGAUAAGAUCUAGUUUCAUUCUUUAGCAUAUGGAUAUCCAGUUUUCCCAGCACCAUGAAUAUCCUUUCCUACAAAGUGGGGUUUUUUUAUGUUUUUGUCAAAAAAUCAGUUGGUUGCAGGCACAUGACUUUAUUUCUGAGUUCUCUAUUCUGCUCUCUUGUUGUGUGUCUGUUUUUAUGCCCUUUCCAUGCUGUUGGGUUGUUGUAGCUUUUCAGUGUGUUUUGAGGACAGGAUUGUUUCAGCUAUUCAAAGUCUUCCCCAUGAAUUUUUUUUAAUAUUUUUUAGUCCUUGAUGGACCUUUAUUUAAUUUAUUUAUUUGUAGGUGGUGCUGAGAAUUGAACCCAGGGCUUCACAUGUGCCAGGCAAGCACUCUAUCUCUGAGCCACCACUCCAGCCCCUUCCCUAUGAAUUUUUAAGAUUAUUUUUUAUACUUCUGUAAAGAAUGCCAGAUACAUUCCUAAGGAAAUUGAAAUCAGUGUAUCAAGGAGACUUGUGGUUUUGAUUUUCCUGUGUUUACUGUGGCACUGUUCUCAAUAGUCAAGGUAUGGAACCAACUGAGGUGUCCACCAACAAGUGAACAGAUUUUUAAAAAAGCAUUGUGUGUGCACUGUGGAAUACUAUUCAACCAAAAAUAUGACCCAGCCAUGAAAUUUUGUCAUUUGUGGCAAAAUGGAUGGAACUAGAAGACAUCAUGUUAAGUGAAAUAAGCCAGGCACAGGAAGACAAAUAGUGCAUGUUCUCAUUAAUAGGAAACUAAAAAAGUAGAUUUCAUAGAAGUAGUUGAAUAGAAUAAUUGUCACUAGAAGUUGGAAAGGGUAGUGAGGAGGGAGAGAGAGGAAGCUUGAGGAAGCUUGGAUAAGAGAUGCCAAAAAAUAGCUACAUAGGAGGGGAAAGUUAUAAUGUUCCACAGCACAAUUUAGAAAGUAGUUUACAAAAAAAUCAUAUAUAUAUAUAUAUAUAUAUAUAUAUAUAUAUAUAUAGAGAGAGAGAGAGAGAGAGAGAGAGAGAGAGAGAGAGACUAGAAGAGAGAACUUUGAAACUACCCCACACAAUACAAUGACAAAUGUUUAAGGAGAAGAAAUGCUAAGUACCCUGAUUUUAUCAUUAUACAUUGUAUAUAUAUGUAUCAAAUUAUCACAUGGUACUCAUAAAUAUGCACAAUUAUUAUGUGUCAAUUGUUUAAAAAUCAAAAGAAGGAGAGGGAGAAGAAGAGGAGAAUGGGGAGAUGGAGGAGGGAGAGGAAGAGGUGGAGGAGGAAGGAGAGAAGGAGGAAGAAGAGAGAAGGAGGUGGAGAAGAAGAGAAGGCAGAGGAGACGGAGAAGGAGAAGAGAAGGAGGUGGAGGAGGAGAGAAGCAAGAAGACGAGGAGGGGGGAGAAGAAGAGGAGGAUAUGGAAGAGAAGCUGCAGCAGGAGGAGAGGUGAAAGAAGAGGAGGAGGACAUGUAGGAAGAGAAGGAGGAGGAGGAAGGGAGACUCUGGCUGACAGGCUCUUGCUCUCUUGCCAUGGGUGCCUUCCACCAUGUUAUGAGGCAGAAAGGCCCACCAACAGCAGCCCGUUAAUCCCUAGGUUCCAGAAGUAUUAGCUGAAUAGAUUUGUAUUUUAUGUAAAUUUUUUUUUUAGAAAAGAUAAAGUUGGAUGCUGAACACCAUCCCACAACUGGACGUGACCCCAACAGCAGGUUCCCUGUUGGUUCUCUGCCUGUUCCCACCACCUUGCUCCCUCCUGCCCUUGCCCUUGCCCUCUACCAUCAAUGCCAGUUUCUCUGCUUCCUCCCCAUAGCUGUUACAUCUCACCCAGAGUUUCUUUUGUAUUCCUAAAAUUCACUCUGUGUGGGGCAUGGCCUUGGGGAGGCCAUGUCUGAGGCCUUGACUCUCUGUCUUUCUCAGGGAAUCGACAUUACUGAUACUUAAGAGUCCCACCUUUUUAUGGCCAAGUUUUGUGUGUAGUAUGACACUAUUUCUGAGUCAUGGUACAUUUUAACCCUACGUAACACCGCCUCAAAAAGAUUUUAGUUUGCCUUCCAUUUUGACUUUCUCUUACAUUCCACAGGAAACCUCUUGUGUAGACUGACAAGAUUAUCAGGAAAAGUACUUUAAAGAAUAUCUUAAUAGCAGAUCUACUGUCUUCUAAUUAAAUUUGUAGAGCUGCCAACCUCCUUUAUUAGACAACCUGUAACUGCUGCUCAAGUCUUGUGAGACUAGUCCAGGGCACUUUCUACUCCCCCAUACUGCCUGAUCUCCCAGGUUAAUUCUUUCCUAGAUUCAUUUACUGGUUGUAGUUUCACAUACUUGUCAAUAGUGAGGAAAGCAACCUAACUCUGCUAAGUUUCUGUUUCACUCAGGAAACCUGAUUUUAUAUACACCCGGGGAAAACCCAGAGUUAGGGCCUGGACUCUGGGGGUCAGGACUGUGGUUGGGUAGUAUUACGGUUUGGAUCUGGGAUAUUCACCAAAAACUCACAUGUUGAAAACAUGAUCCCCAGUGCACCCAGGUUCAGGGGUGGGGCUUCAGGCAAUGAUUGGAUCAUGAGGCCUCUGACCUCAUUAGUGGAUUAAUCCAUCAAAUUGAUAGCUGGAUGGAGUAUUGAGAGGUGGGAUCUAGUGGGAGAAAAUAGGUCACUGGGAGUGUGCCCUAGAAGGUUUUAUCUUCUCCCUCAGCCCCUUCUUCUCUCUCUGUUUCCCAGCUGCCAUGAGCUACCCAGCUUUUCUCUUCCAUACCCUUCUGCCAUGAUGUUCUGCCUCAUCUCAGGUCUGGGGCAAUGGAGCCAGCCAGCCAUGGACUGAAUCCUCUGAAACCAAGAGCCAAAAUAAAUUGUCCUCCUCUAAGUUGUUCUUAGGUAUUUUGGUCACCGUGACGAAAAGCUAACUGUCACAGGGAGUUGUAAGGGUUGCGUGGAAGGCUUGGGGGCAGUUCUCUAGAAAGCAAGCUGCUUUGAGAGAGUCUGGGGCAGAAGAUCCUCUUUUUAAAAGGGCCCUUCCAAAGGGCGGGCCUAUGGGAAGAAAAAAAUAAUAAGAGAGCUUAUGCUGGUUUUCUUCAGACUCUUUCCAAGGCUAAAGUCAGCCAUGACAGAGAGAGUCCAGAGAGGCAGAGGCAGUGGGUGAAGGAGGGAAGUCAGAUCAAACAGGAAGAAAAGAGGAAAGGGAAGACGUAGAAGCUUGUGACAGAUAAAAUACCCUGAGGGACAGGUGGCUAGGGAAGUAGUGGAAAUGCAAACAAAAUGGUCACAUAUCUUAUUUUGAAAAAAAAUCUCUUAAAUAUAAUAUGCGGUAACUUGUCUAUGGUUUGAGUGUGUCCUUCCACAUGCUGGAAGCUUAGUCCCUAAUAUGGCAAUGUUGAGGUAGUAUGGAACCUUUAAGAGAUGGCACCUAAUACUAGAUGAUUAGUGCACUGGCCACAUGCCCUCAGGAGGAUUUAACACGUUCUUCUGGGAGCCUCCUUAGUUCCUGCCCUAUGGUUUGUUAUAAGAGAGCAAUUGUGACCCCACCCCACUCCCCGGCUUCCUAUCUUGCCUUGGGAUCCCUCUCACAAGCGCUCCUGCCAGGAUGCCAUUCACCAUGCAGUCUUCACCAAAGCCCAGCUGAUGCUAGUACCAUGAUCUUGAACCUCUAAACUGGGAGCUAAAUGGUCCUCUUUUAAAAAAAAAAAAAGUAACUAGUCUCAGGAAUUUUGUGAUAGCCAUGAAAACAGACUAAUACAUAAUACUACUAGAUUUGAAAGUGAUUCCUGAAUGGAAAAAAAAAAGACUUCUGCUUUUCCAUUUUGUUGUUCUUGUUAUCAUUGUUUGGGUACAAUCUCAAAGAAUCUGGGGUGUCUACACUGGACACAUUCCCCAUUCAUCUACGUGGGCUACAUAGAGAUCAUAUGGAAGAUCACUCCCUGCUACCCCAGGUAAGAAGUUAAGUGUUCAGAAUCUUGUGCUGUGAUUAUAGGGGCCAUACCCUCACUUCUGUAUUUGUGAAUAAAAGGCAGAAGAUACAACAAAACUAAGUUUGUGCAGGCUGAGCCUCCAGGAUCAUUCACCUAGUAAAAGACUGAGCCAACAAUCCAGCAUCUGAUCCUUCCUUUCACACCUGCCCAUCAGCUCAGCUUGUGGGCACCUGGAUUGACAAAGAACACGUGGUGGUGUGCAGCUAGAGGUGUACACAUAAAGCUGGCCCAGUCUUCCUUUAAUGACACACAUUCUUGGUUUCAAAAUACUUCUGUGUAUUCAAUGCACAAGGAAGUGUAUUUUAGGUUUUAAGCAAUGAUGCUGCACCACCCCCUGCUUUAAUCCUCUCUGAUGAGACCUCGAAUCCCACAGCAGUAGCUCAUGUAGCCAGGUAAGCCACAGCCACAAAUUGAUGGAGCUCUUGUUACAUACUAUUUCCUCAUCACCUCUUCAAAUUUAAGGUUUAAAAUAAACAUAGGGGGAAGCUGGAGUGGAGAUUCUGGAGAAAAAUACGAUCAUAGACAAAUGACUAGCGCCAGCUGAUUUUCAGAUAGUUCCACUGCAAAGACAAGGAAUAGAAAUGGGCCUGGCAGUGCCAGGCUGAUCUCUCAGAAAUUUCUAGAAUAAGCAUUAGUGUCAAUGUAAGUAGAAAAUACAAUGUAGCCAGACAGUUCACUGGAAAAGUUGUAAAUCAUCUAAGCAGUAUAAUAAGAAGAAUGCAUUAUUACAACAUUCACACUCACGAAAUUUGACAAAGUCAAACACUAUUCAACCAGCUAUUCAAAAACAAAAAAAAAACCAUAGUAUCAUUUUCUGUGUUGUGUUUUGUUUUGUGGUAAUCAACUAGUGGUUUCUUAGGAAUUCAUUAAAUAUCCUGCUCAUUACAGUUUUCAGUCCAUGAAUAGUGUUUCUGCUAGAUCAAUUCUAAAAGCCAGUAAUGAUUUAAUUCUGAAUCAUGUAGAAAGAAAAUAUGAGAAAAAAAUCACAUUUCUUUCAGUUCUGUAGCAAUUACAGCAGGUAAAUUUUAAAUGUUUAAAAAGUAAAAGGGUUAUGAACUCCCAUUUUUACCCCGUAUACAGAUUGCAGCAUCACAUCAGUUACACAUCCACUGUUUUACAUAUUGCUAUACUAGUGUCUGUUGUAUUCUGAAUCAAAGUGUGAAAUAUGAUAUGUCAAGAACUAUGUAAUGUUUUGAACAACCAACAAUAAAAAUUAAAGAAAAAAAUUAAAAAAUAAAAAUAAAAAGUAAAAGGGGCAAAGUUAUGGCUACUUCAUCAGCACGUUCUUUGCCCAGUAAAUUUUCUAAAAGUGUCAGAUUGUUUGCUGUUGGGAAGGUUCUGAUUUUAUCAACAGUUCAUGAGAAAGCAUUUUUGCUUAGGUAUCCACAGCUCACCUUUCACCCUGUGCCCGCUCCUCCAACAGCAUUCAUUCCACAAAUAUCCACGGGCAGAUUCACAUUCCAGUCACUCAGAGCAAAAAUAUCUGGGCAAAGUCCUCUGUCUUCACGCAGCAUCACCUCCACACAGGCAUGACAUUUCAGAAACAAAAACUGUUUCCAUCAGCUUUUAACAAUGCAGGUGGACACUAAUCUCAAAAAUCUUCAAGUAUAAAUGCAUUAUGUUUUUAUUUCUCUUUUUUUCUUUUUAUCAUCGUGGUCUUAACACUAAAUGGUUGGCCAUUAAAUAGCAAUGAACACAAAUAAUUAUUUUAAGUAAUUUUUAACUUAUUCAAGAACUACUAUGGUUGAUACUGAAAUUAUUACCAAAGAAUGCCCUUUGGUAUGAAGCCCAGCCAGCGUCCUCACCACAUUGUCAAUGCUCCCCACUGAAGGCCACGAGCAGAUACAAGUCCAGUGCAAGUCCCUAGACUCAUCUUGAUCUAAAAUAGGGAUAAUCAGACCCCAAAUUUGUUGUAACCUAAUUUUAUUCCAUCACUCUUCUGAUAACUAGGCUUUUUCACCUCACAUGUAAGCACUGGUCGCAGUUGUGGGUCUGUAACUGGGUUUCUUCAGGUUCCUAAGUACCAAGUCGUUUAACUUAUCUUGUAAACUAGCACUAAUAAUAAAAAUAGCAACAUGUCUUUGAGUAAGAGCAACAUAUUUUUGAAUAAUAAUAAUUACACCUCUUUCAAGUGAUAAUUAUAGCAGUAAUCGCAUUCAUGAGCACCUAUUUCAUGCCAAACAGUUUUUUAUUUGUUUGGUUUUAGGUCCUGGGAAUUGAACCCAGGGGUGCUUUAACACUGAGCUACUAUCUCAGUUCUUUUAAAUUUAUUUUUAUUGUUUUUUAUUUUGAGACAGGUCUCACUGAGUGUCCAGAGACAGGAUCUUGACCUGUUGAUCCUCCUGCCUCAGCCUUCCAAAUCACUGGGAUCACAGGCAUGCGUCACCAUGCCCAGCUCUGCUAGGCAGUUUUUUAAGUGAUUUUUAAAAUUCAAUUAAUAUGUGCCUAUGGUGCCCUCCUCACCAGCCUUACAUCUGCACUGCCAUUGUAUGAUGGCCAGGAACCUUUGUCCACGAGCAAAAGCCUCCCUCUGCAUGGACAGCCUCCUUGAUGCUAAGGAUCUCUGUCUCUUUAUUUUCAAGUCUCGUCUACCUCGGCCUUCCACCUGACCUCAGCACCCCUGAUACUUCACUUUGUACCUGCCACUCCACCUAGCCACAGUUUUCCCUGACUCUACCUUCAAGACCCACUGAACUUCAACAACCAGAACCUGCAGCCAGGCGGCUUCCCAGGAAAUCCCUCCCCUCAUUGGGAAGUUGGGGGAGAGAGUCGCGCUGGCAAGUCCUGAAACAUGUCUCUCUGCAGCAUUAACGUCAAAACCAAGCACAGCCACUGUGCCAAACUUCACAGUAUCUACAGGGAACUCGAGCAACAUAAUUGGAUCCACAGUGAUUCCAUGUGGAAAGAAGAUAUAAAAGAGGUGUUUAUUGCAUCUAUUUGAGCAAUGUUUUAAAAUCAUCUUCUUUUAGAAUAGGUAGUAAGUACUUUCCUGAAACCCAAAAUAUAGCAAUUAGCAUCUGUCAAGUAGUCAACAGAAUAUAAAAUACAGACACAUAUGAUCAAGAAGAAUCCAGCUCUCUCUCGGCUGUGCUGAACAAGGGAGGGAAGGUAGAAUUAGGAUGGGCUUGAGGUCAGGCAGACAUGACUUUUAAUCUUGCUCUGCCCUUCACGGGCUGUGUGAGGUAAGGAAUUUAACUCUGAACCUCCUUCUUCAUCUGUGGCAUAGGAAUGCUGCGACACUUCUUACCUUACAGUGCUGCAAUGGGGUCUCAAACUGCCUGAGUUCAAGUGCCUCAUCCAGAAUGUGGCACACAAUAUAUGCACAGUAAUGGGGAGGGUAACAAUCAUGGUGUUGAUGGAGAUUACAGUGACAGUGGUGACGGCCAAAACCCACAGCAGUGUGCUAUUCAAAUCACUGGUAGAGAACACAGGGUUAGAAUUUAGUCAUUUGCUGGACAAAUCUUCAAAAGAAAAGAAUGGAAAAGGAGAAAGGAAACGGAUGAAACUAUUAGAGUUAAGAUACCCUAACACCUAGAAGAGGGAGAAGAAACUAUAGCAUCCUGCAAAAACUUACAUUAAGCCUCUGUUCUGGGGCAGACUACUCAGAAAACAUACCAAGUCCAUUUUGUCCAAAUUGGAGAGUCUUUAUUUAGCCGGCCAGCCAGUGACUGCUCCCAGCAGGACCCAUAACUGUCUCUGCAAGGAACAGCCUUGAGCCUGAGCAUUUUAGGGUCUUUAAAGGCAAACACCACAAAAAACACAUCUGGGUUGACAUAGCUGCAAUCAAGCAAGGGUACAGAAGCUGAAUUGUGCAGUUAGGGAAACAAUGCAAUGGAUACAUUGGUAUUUCCCACAGGACUUUCCAGGUUGGCAUAGCAGCAAGCAAGCAGAAGAGAAGUGGGUCAAAAUGACCCUAAUUGAGUACGAGUUAGAGAAUGGUUACUAAAGCCUAGACAAUCAUCAAUCUCUGACAGGGUACAUUGCCCAAGAAAAAUGGAAACCAAAGAAAACAAUUUUACAUUGUAUAAGAAUUGCCAUUUUGUGUUGCCAACAUGCUAUGCUAAGCAACUACUGAUAGGUGCAGAGGUGAGGUGUUCCCAUGGGAGAAGCAUUUCUUAUAUGACAUGGAGUCUUGGGGUAAAAUGGAGUCUGUUUGGUCAUUGCCUAUAUAGCAUGGCCCAUAACAGCCUCAUCAAGGUAAUAUUUCUCUUCUGAGUCAUCAUUACAGACCAUAUUUAGUACUAGAGUAAAUGGCACUGAUGACCCUUAGCCCAACAAAGCCUCAGCCUCCCAAGCUGUUGGGAUCAUAGGUAUGUACCACCAUGCUCAGCUUGCCCUGUUUUUGUUUUUGUUUUUGUUUUUUAAUUUUUUCUUUUUAGAUAUGCAUGACAGUAGAGUGUAUUCUGACAUAUUAUACAUACAUGAAGUAUAACAUCCCAUUCCUGUGGCUGCACAUGAUGUGGAGAUACACUGUUCACCUAUUCAUAUAUGAAGAUAGGAAAGUUAUGCCCAAUUCAUGCUACUUACUGUCUUUCCUGUUCCCAUCUCCCCUCCCUUCCCUUCAUUCCCUUGUCUAAUCCAGUGAACUUCUAUUCUCCCCCAUCCCUCCAUUGUGUGUUAGCAUCUGCAUAUUGGAGAGAAUAUUUGGCCUUUGGAUUUGGGAGAUUGACUUAUUUCACUUACCAUGAUAGUCUCCAGUUCUAUCCAUUUACUGGCAGACGCUAUAAUUUCAUUCUUCUUUCUGUCUUAAAACACUGUUUCUUGGUGAAUUUUACAGUGAUUUAAAUUAAUCACAUAAAACUAGAGUUAUAUACUACCCUAUAAACUCAAGUCAAGAUUGAGUUGAUUUUAUAGUCAUCCUCUAGCAGGCAGGAAGGAAGAGAGAGAGAGAAGGGAGAAAGGAUGGAUGGAAGGAAGGAAGGGGAACACAAAGAAAAAGUGUAAAGAAUCGGAGCACGGAUAAGUACUUAGAAUGAUGUUUAUUUUAAUAACAAAACCAGAAUGUGAUCUAUAUACAAGGUGAGAUGUAAAAGUCUGGGUCUAUUCUAUCUUGACAUUUUUGAGGCAGAAACUCCAAAUGCCAUCGAAUCAUAACCACAGAAGACAAUCCUCAUGAGAAUUCUGCGAAAGGAAGUUGAGUAAUAUGUUGGAACAGAUGAUGGCUUUUUCAGCCUCCCACAACACCAAAUCAUGGAAAGCUUUCAGAGGUUGUCUGUAUAAAUAAAAUAUGAAUAUCCAAGUUCAGAGUUCCCUUUGUGCAAAUAAUGUUUAUCUUUGUUUAUGUGAAGAAUUGGCAAUCAAAAUAUGAGUUAAGGUUGGCCAUUCCUUCCAUACUGUGUC